GUCUCGUCGCCUCUCUUGUCCUCUCCUCUCUUGCCUCGCCUUCCCUCGCCUCCCCUCCCCUCCCCUCCCUACCCCUACCCCUACCCCCCCUUGCAGUUUGCAGCUCUGGGUCAGUCUUUCCUUAAAUCAAGGAAGUAGAAAUUACUGGUGGAUGAGAUCCAGUAUGUUUGAGAGACCAAUUUCAGCUCAAGUUUGGAAGUAAUGAAAAAAACCCAGUAUCUAUAUAGACCUUUUGCUUUGAUCUGGUCGCUAGCAUUGAAAACUAGGAAUCUGAUGCAGAGUCAUCAACACCCACUUGAGUGUGUCCCUUUCACUGAGGGUACAGAGAUCCAGAAAGAAGUCCCCUCAUGCUGAGGAUCCAGGCUAACUGAGCUGGUGAAGGAUAUGAGAAGAAAACCAGAAACUUACACAUGCAAACAGGCACACCACACAGACCAAAGGUCUGGGCAAAUUUCCAAGAGCAUUGUGUUGGGCAGUUCCUUUUCAGCUGUGAAAACAAUCUCAGUCCUGAAAUUCUGCCAUACAAUCACAAGAUAAAAAGUCCCACAUGACCCUUCUAGGUUUGGAAAUAAAUUGUCUUUAAGAAAUGUAUCCUUUCAUAUUUGUUGGUUGCAUAAAAACAAAAUAAAAGUACAUUUAUCUGAAAGAAAAGUUUCAAAAUGCCUAUUAAUUUUACUUUAUACUUUCAGUACCUCAAGAUGUUUAGCACUGAGAUCAUAAAACUGUCGAGCUCAAUAAAUGAGCAUUUUCUUCAGUAUUCUUCAGCAUUUUACCCUGAUUAAUUUUAUAAGACAGAUGAAAAAAACCAGAUUCCAAAGACAUCCAGUUUCUGCAAAGGCUAAUACCCUGCUGGAAGCUAGAUUUUGUGCAGCUAAUAUUCAAGUUGCUUUUGAAGAUCAAUUGUGAAAUAAAAUUUGCAGCUAGUUCUAAAAACUGGUCCUUGUAAAUGCAUGCCAAAUGUCUUCUGAAGAAUUACAUAAAGGCUAGAAAGAAUACAUCAUAUUUAAAAAGCAGUAAACUAAUCACUUUAAAGGAAAAUUCUAUAAUAGUUUUUACUCAUUGUGAAACAAUUAUGCCUAUUGAUAAACUUUUUUUAAGCUAUGUACAGCUCAAAAAUGUAGCUAUUUAUAAAUCUAAUAUAGUGCAGCAUUGUUACAAAUUGUGCUGAAAAUGAACAUAGUCUCAUUCCUGUAUUACAGGAGCGACUUUAUUUAAUGAUGAAUGACAGCUUACUAAAAGCUGCUAAUUUAAAAUUUUAAAUGAAAAUAAUCUAUUUAACACACAGCUGAUUCACAAAAUUAGUGAAUUCAUUUAUUAUAAGGAUGACCAUACAUAGCUCAUUUGUCAUAAUCUGGCAUUGAAAUACUUCUUUUGAAAUACUUCAAAUGUAAAGAAUGGUUGUGCAGCCAUAUAUGUUAAUUUGAAGACUGGCAUGCUGGCACAUUAGCCUGCAAAUAGCCCAGCUAUAAAUUUUAAACCUUCUUUUAGAAAGAAAAAGUGUGGAAAAUACAGUGUUAUCCAGGUGGAAAAGCAGAGUUUCGUUAACAGGGAGCUGGAGCCUAGGUAAUAGUUGAAACUUAAAACAAUUUUCCAUGUGCUCUCUCCAUUACUUACCUGUCUUUUUUUGCUAG